AACGAACGCUGGCGGCAUGCCUAACACAUGCAAGUCGAACGUGACCUUCGGGUCUAGUGGCGCACGGGUGCGUAACGCGUGGGAACCUGCCCUUAGGUUCGGAAUAACUCCCCGAAAGGGGUGCUAAUACCGGAUAAUGUCUUCGGACCAAAGAUUUAUCGCCUUUGGAUGGGCCCGCGUUGGAUUAGCUAGUUGGUAGGGUAAAAGCCUACCAAGGCGACGAUCCAUAGCUGGUCUGAGAGGAUUAUCAGCCACACUGGGACUGAGACACGGCCCAGACUCCUACGGGAGGCAGCAGUGGGGAAUAUUGGACAAUGGGCGAAAGCCUGAUCCAGCAAUGCCGCGUGAGUGAUGAAGGCCUUAGGGUUGUAAAGCUCUUUUACCCGGGAUGAUAAUGACAGUACCGGGAGAAUAAGCUCCGGCUAACUCCGUG
rnacentral:rRNA from 1 species